rnacentral:lncRNA from 1 species
AUUGUCCCUUAAAAAACAAAGUAAGUUAUUAUUAGAAGACAAUGGUUUAUUAUAUAUUCUUUACAAACUGAGGCGUAAAAUAUAUUGGUAGGUUUAAUACUGUUUAUAACAUGAAAACUAUGAAGAAGCUAUUAUCUACUUGUCCAGACUGAAAUUUGUCAUGUGUAAGACGGUAACAAUAUAUCUCGAGCAAUAUAUGUUGUUAUAUACAUGGUCGGUAAUUUAUUAACCGGAUUUUUGUGACAAAAAUGUCGGUUAUUGAUUUGGGGAUGUACGGCGGGCGGCCGGGCGGUCGGGCGGGCGGGCGGGCGGGCGGCAAUCAAAUGUUGUCCGUGCAUUAACUCAUGAACCGUUCAACCAAAACUUUUAAAAUUUUAAUAUGUUAUUCCUGACAACUAUACGAAGGUCAAGUUCAAUAAUGGCGAUUUUGACUUUUACCGUUCAGGAGUUAUGGUUCUUGAAAAAUUGAAAAAUUGAGUUGUCCGUGCAUUUACGCAUGAACUGUUCUACCAAAGCUUCCCAAAUUUUAAUAUGUUGUUACUAAUGAAAGAAUGGAGGUCAAGUUCAAUAAUGACGAAUUUGACUUUUACCGUUCAGGAGUUAUGGUUCUUGAAAGAUUGAAAAAUGGAGUUUCCAGUCGUGUCCGUGCAUUUUCUCAUGAACCAUUCAACCAAAGCUUUUGAAAUUUUAAUAUGUUGUUACUGAAGACAAAAUAGAGGUCAAGUUCAAUAAUGACGAUUUUGACUUUUACCGUUCAGGAGUUAUGGUUCUUGAAAGAUCGUAAAAUGGCGUUUCCAUUCAGGUUGUUGCAUUUACUCAUGAACCAUUCAAUCUAAGCUUUUCAAAUUUUAAUAUGUUGAUACUGAUGACAAAAUGGAGGUCAAAUUUGAUAUUGACGAUUUUCACUUUCACCAUUCAUCAGUAAUGGUUCUUGUGAUAUUGCCAGGACACAAAUAAAUGUUAAUAAAUCCGGUUUGCUGUCGUUGUGACAGCCUCUUGUUUUAUAUAUAAUCUAUGACUGAGACAACUAUCCUCCUAUCUUCAAAAUUUAGAUGCAUCCUGUAAGAAAUUAAAGGCAACCACUUGGACUUCAAAUACGAGAAAAAAACAUACAUUAAUAUGAAUAGCAAACUGUAAAAGGCCAAGGGUUACGAUCCACUAAGCAUGCUACGAUGAGGGGAGUGGAUCGUAACCAUCAGCUAGAGAAGAUGAACAUUGACAAAUGUUACACAUUUCAAUCAUUGUGUCAAUUGAGGGGGGAUAGAAAUCCUGGGCUUUAAAACACGAAAUUCUACGGUCCCAAAUUUAAGUAAAGUAAUUCCCAACGUCCCUAAAUUAAAAAAAAAGAAUUCCCAGAUCCCGAAAGGGUCAAUUCAGAAAUCCUGAUCUUAAAAACACUCGAUCCGGGAGUCCCGAUAAGGUCCUACCCCCCUCUGAAUUGUAACUUGAAUGAAUCAGCGCCCUCUACAGCUCAGUGUCCUCAGUAAUCGAUAGUGAGACAAAAUAUAACAACUGGAUUAUUCGGGUUAUGUCAGUUGGGGAAAUUAAUGUCCUGAUUUUAUUCAUGUUAGUUCAAACAAUCAAUGAAUGAAAAACAUAUAUGAUUAUUUUACUAUGUUACCACUGUCUGUCUGCUUGUCCACCCCAUUAUGGGAAUAUAAUGUUGUCUUACAUGUCUUAGCAGGGGCGGAUCCAACCAAUUAAAAAAAGGGGGGUUCCAACUAUGUUUCCCCAUUCAAAUGCAUUGAUCGGUCAAAAAAAAGGGAGGGUUCCAAACCCCCCCCCCCUGAAAGUGCCAAUGCUUAGAUAUUCCACACAAAUCCUACAGUUUGAUUGCAACCUAGGUCAUUCAUGGUCCAGUAACCAUGGUAACUGAAUUUAUUGUGGUAUUUUCUAUAAAGUUAUAUACCUAUCAAAGCAUAUCAGAUUGACAACUAUCUUUAGGUCCUAUCCCUACUUCCAGGGGUUCAAAUUAACAUUUGAUACUGGAAGGUCCAGGACCUUUGACACUCCAAACUGAAAGGUCCACAACCCAAAUUCAAGGUCCUACUUUUACUUAAAACAUUUUAUAACUCCGUAAGAUACAAAAUUAAUGUGCUUUUGGUGUUAGGUUAGCUUGCUUAAUUGUCAGUGUCACUGUUGUAUAACAUGUUUAAUAAAAAAUGUAAUUGUCUUGUAUAUGAAUUCACAUAAUCUUUUUUUUAGUAUUGGGGAGGGUGUCACUGUGGGUGGGUUUGUGGUCUUAACAAUUGGUAAUUAAUUACUAAUCAUACCAUUAUCUCGCUUCAAUGUUUGGGUUUUACUAUAAUAUAAAGGGCUAUGUGUCUCAGUGGCGGAUCCAGGGGGGGGGGGUUCCGGGGGUGCGCACCCCCCUUUAUUUUUGCCGAUCAAUGCAUUUGUAUCGGGACAUAUGUUUUGCACCCCCCUUUGCCCUGGGUUAGCACCCCCCUUUCGAAAAUUCCUGCAUCCGCCCCUGUGUCUCUUUUUUAAUAUUGUUAGAUUCAUACCUGAGUAUACAAUUAAAGUUUCGCUGUCAUGAAUAAUAAAGAUGAAAAUACAUUUUGAAAUCGUUUAUUUGAAAUUUUUAUAUAAAGAUAGUCGGCAUAGUAAAAUUUUUAUUUUCUUUCAAAUCGAAGGUCCGUCGGUCGUAGCUAGUAACCAAAAUGAAAGUCCGCCUGCAAAAGUGGAAGGUCGCGGACCUCGCAGGGGUUCAAAUUAGCGGUGGUCCGAGGUCCGCGACCUUCCACUUUUGGGUUGUGGACCUUUCAGUUUGGAGUGUCAAAGGUCCUGGACCUUCCAGUAUCAAAUGUUAAUUUGAACCCCUGCCUCGGACCACCGCUAAUUUGAACCCCUGCUACUUCAUGGUUAAUUUUAGAAACUUCACAUUUGUUAUCAAUGUUUCUGUUAACAGUUUAUCAGAUCAUUGCAGAUUGUCUUUCCUUAUUUAUUUAAUAUACAGGUGAGACAUAUAUUCACAAAAUGUAUGAUAUAUCUCUUGGGCAACAGUUUAUUUACUUAAGAUAAGAAUAUGUAGCAUGCAGGCCAACAUGGCCAAUGAGACAAUUCUCAAUCCAAGUUACAAUGCUUAAAAACAUGAAAAAGUUAAGAACACCAUGAACUCAGAACUUGUAAAUUAUGUUGACAUUUACCAAUAUUGUUUUCCUUAUGAACAAAUAAGUUGUUAGGUACACAUCAAUAAGGCAGUACAGCAUACAGUCAAACCUGUUUUCAGAGACCAUUUAAUGUAGAGCAAAACAGUGGUCUCUUACAGCAUUUUUGUAUAGGUGGUCUUUUGAUACAGAUUUGAUUUAUUUCAUGAAUAAACAAACAAUUAAAAAUGUCUUGCACAUAAUUUUGUUUACCGAUUUUGAGAAACACUGUAAACAUGGUGAAUAACAAACCUUUUUCAAGGCUACAUGUGAAAUAAAAAUGGCAAAACAUCUUGCAGGAAAAUUACCCUUUUAAUACCACACUCACAGCCCUGCUCGUACAUGUUGUAUUAUUUAAUAUAUAGUAUGGAACUAGAAUUGCCCAAACUUACAGAUUCAUAAAUGCAGAGAAUGUCUAAAUUGCAGAAAAGUAUCAAAAGGUUAUAUAUAUGUCUUUAUUUUUUGGUGUUCCUUACAGAGUCGUUCAAGAAAUCACAUACUCGGGUCACUGGAGAUAAACAUUAUCAAUAAGAUGUCAGAGGGAGGAGAGGAUUUAGUCACACUCAACGGUACUUUACAGAGACACAUAAACACACAGGCUGAUAAAACACGUCAUAAAUGUGAUGUCUGUGCUAAAGAAUUUAGUCAAAGUAGUGACUUAAAGGCACACAUGAGUAAACAUA